GCCAGUCUCACAGUGAUGGAAGCUGCACAUUUUUUCAAAGGGACCGAGAAGCUACUGGAGGUUUGGUUCUCCAGGCAGCAACCGACGCAAAUCAAGGAUCUGGGGAUCUUCGCACCAUCCCAAGAUCUGAGUGGGACAUACUUUUGAAGGAUGUGCAAUGUUCAAUCAUAAGUGUGACAAAAACUGACAAGCAGGAAGCUUAUGUACUCAGCGAGAGUAGCAUGUUUGUCUCCAAGAGACGUUUCAUUUUGAAGACAUGUGGUACCACCCUCUUGCUGAAAGCACUGGUUUCCCUGUUGAAACUUGCUAGGAAUUACAGUGGGUUUGACUCAAUUCAAAGCUUCUUUUAUUCUCGUAAGAAUUUCAUGAAGCUUUCUCACCAAGGGUACCCACACUGGCAUUUCCAGAAAGAAAUAGAGUUUCUUAAUGCAAUUUUCCCAAAUGGAGCAGCAUAUUGUAUGGGACAUAUGAAUUCUGACUGUUGGUACUUGUAUACUUUGGAUUUCCCAGAGAGUAGGGUAAUCAAUCAGCCAGAUCAAACCCUGGAAAUCCUGAUGAGUGAGCUUGACCCAGCAGUUAUGGGCCAGUUCUACAUGAAAGAUGGUGUUACUGCAAAGGAUGUCACUCGUGAGAGUGGAAUUUGUGACCUGAUACCAGGUUCUGUCAUUGAUGCCACAAUGUUCAAUCCUUGUGGGUAUUCAAUGAAUGGCAUGGAAUCAGAUGGAACUUAUUGGACUAUUCACAUCACUCCAGAACCAGAAUUUUCUUAUGUUAGCUUUGAAACAAACUUAAGUCAGACCUCCUAUGAUGACCUGAUCAGGAAAGUUGUAGAAGUCUUCAAGCCAGGAAAAUUUGUGACCACCUUGUUUGUAAACCAGAGUUCUAAAUGUCGCACAGUGCUUUCUUCGCCCCAGAAGAUUGAAGGUUUUAAACGUCUUGAUUUCCAGAGUGCUAUGUUCAAUGAUUACAACUUUGUUUUUACCAGUUUUGCUAAGAAGCAGCAACAACAGCAGAGUUAAGAAAAAUGAAGAAAAAACGCAAAAAGGAAACACAUAAAAGAAGGUGGUGGCUGCUUUUUAGAUAUUGAUACUGGGGGCCAUGCUUUCCAUAACCACCGCCUUGUAGUUGCAGAAAGCCCUAGAUGUAAUGAUAAGUGUAAUCAUUUUGAAUUGUAUGCAUUAUUAUAUUAAGGAAUUAGAUAUCUUGCAUGAAUGCUCUCUUCUAUGUUUAGUUAUCCUAUGCCACUCUUGCUGUGAAACUGAAGUGCAUGUAGAAAAAAACUUUUUUUAU